GAUGAACGCUGGCGGCGUGCCUAAUACAUGCAAGUCGAGCGAACAGACGAGGAGCUUGCUCCUCUGACGUUAGCGGCGGACGGGUGAGUAACACGUGGAUAACCUACCUAUAAGACUGGGAUAACUUCGGGAAACCGGAGCUAAUACCGGAUAAUAUAUUGAACCGCAUGGUUCAAUAGUGAAAGACGGUUUUGCUGUCACUUAUAGAUGGAUCCGCGCCGCAUUAGCUAGUUGGUAAGGUAACGGCUUACCAAGGCAACGAUGCGUAGCCGACCUGAGAGGGUAGGCGGCCACACGGAAACUAGCACAGGGUCCGGACGCCAACGGGAGGCAGCAGUGGGGAAUUUGCCGCAAUGGCGGAAAGCCGGACGGGGAAAGGCCGGGGGGGGAAUAAAGGUCUUGGGUUGGUAAACCUCUUUAAUUGGGAAAGAACAAAGGGGAAGUAACCUAGGCCCGUCUGGAGGGGACCAAAUAAAAAGGCAACGGCAAACUACGG
rnacentral:rRNA from 1 species